rnacentral:lncRNA from 1 species
GCAUAGUCCACGAGUCAACCCCAACGAAUCUCAAGUCAACCCCAGUAAACUUGAGUCGACCCCAGAAUGGUCUUAAAAUAAAGAUAGAAAAUAAUCAAAAAUUGUUAGAGCUUGAGUCGACCCUAGAAGGACAAGAGUUGACUCUAGAAUGGUCUCAAGAUAAAGAUAGAAAAUAGUGAAAAACCUUCUAAGCUUGAGACGACAUUAUUAGGAUACAAGUUAACUCUAGUUGGCUCAGGAUGA